rnacentral:rRNA from 1 species
UGAGUAACACGUGGGGAACCUGCCCCUAAGUCUGGGAUACCAUUUGGAAACAGGUGCUAAUACCGGAUAAUAAAGCAGAUCGCAUGAUCAGCUUUUGAAAGGCGGCGUAAGCUGUCGCUAAGGGAUGGCCCCGCGGUGCAUUAGCUAGUUGGUAAGGUAACGGCUUACCAAGGCGACGAUGCAUAGCCGAGUUGAGAGACUGAUCGGCCACAUUGGGACUGAGACACGGCCCAAACUCCUACGGGAGGCAGCAGUAGGGAAUCUUCCACAAUGGACGCAAGUCUGAUGGAGCAACGCCGCGUGAGUGAAGAAGGUUUUCGGAUCGUAAAGCUCUGUUGUUGGUGAAGAAGGAUAGAGGUAGUAACUGGCCUUUAUUUGACGGUAAUCAACCAGAAAGUCACGGCUAACUACGUGCCAGCAGCCGCGGUAAUACGUAGGUGGCAAGCGUUGUCCGGAUUUAUUGGGCGUAAAGCGAGCGCAGGCGGAAAAAUAAGUCUAAUGUGAAAGCCCUCGGCUUAACCGAGGAACUGCAUCGGAAACUGUUUUUCUUGAGUGCAGAAGAGGAAAGUGGAAACUCCAUGUGUAGCGGUGGAAUGCGUAGAUAUAUGGAAGAACACCAGUGGCGAAGGCGGCUCUCUGGUCUGCAACUGAC